rnacentral:rRNA from 1 species
GACCUGAUAUCAGGCAAGACUACCC